AUCCCUGCCCUUAGUUGCUGCAGUUACUCUCAGGAGUAGCUGGGCUAACUAAGGGGACCGCCACUGCUGAAGUGGAGGAAGGAGGGGGCCACGGCAGGUCAGUAUGCCCCGAAACCCUGGGGCUACACGCGGGCUGCAAUGAUAGAGACAACGGGUUCCGAACUCGAAAGAGGGAGGCAAUCCUUAAACUCUAUCUCAGUUAUGAUUGAGGGCUGCAACUCGCCCUCAUGAAUAUGGAAUCCCUAGUAACCGCGUCAUAACCGCGCAGUGAAUAC
rnacentral:rRNA from 1 species